rnacentral:rRNA from 1 species
GACGAACGCUGGCGGCGUGCUUAACACAUGCAAGUCGAACGAGUGGCGAACGGGUGAGUAAUACGUGAGUAACCUGCCCUCUUUUUGGGAUACGCCUUGGAAACGUGGUCUAAUACCGGAUACAGGGGGAUGGGCUUGGGGCUAAUCAGCUUGUUGGUGGGUGGAUGGCCUAACAAGGCGGUGCCGGGUAGCCGGACUGAGAGGGUAACCGGCAACAUUGGGACUGAGAUGAGGCCUAGAGGCGUACGGGGGGCAGCAGUGGGGAAAAUUGCACAAUGGGCGAUAGCCUGAUGCAGCGACGCCGCGUGGGGGAUGAGGGCUGUCGAGUUGUAAACCUCUGUCGCUAUCGAACGGUUAGUUGGAGAAGAAGCGCCGGCUAACUACGUGCCAGCAGCCGCGGUAAUAC